rnacentral:rRNA from 1 species
GUACUAAGGUAGCAUAAUAAUUAGCAGUUAAUUAAAGGAUAGAAUGAAAGAAACAACGAGUUAACAAAACAUUCUCUAUAAUAAAAAAGAAACUAUUAAUAAGGUAAAAAGACCUUAACAUUAAAGGAAGACGACAAGACCCCGAUGAACUUUAACAAUAUGUUAGGCUGGGGCAGCCAUAAAAUAACACCUUACAUAAAACUCUUAUAAUUAUGAAAAAUUCAACUUCAAAACAAGUUACCACAGGGAUAACAGCAUUAUUCCCUUCAAGAGCACUUAUCUAAAAAGGAGUUUAUGACCUCGAUGUUGAAUUACCUAUAGUAUAUAUGCAACCAUAUAUCACAAUGGUCUGUUCGACCAAAAACAGGUACAUGAU